CCUACGGGUGGCUGCAGUGGGGAAUAUUGGGCAAUGGGCGCAAGCCUGAACCAGCAACGCCGCGUGAAGGAAGAAGGCUCUACGGUUGGUAACUUCUUUUGUCAGGGACGAAGCAAGUGACGGUACCUGACGAAUAAGCCACGGCUAACUACGAGCCAGCAGCCGCGGUAAUACGGAGGUGGCAAGCGUUAUCCGGAUUUAUUGGGUGUAAAGGGCGUGUAGGCGGGAAUGCAAGUCAGAUGUGAAAACUAUGGGCUCAACCCAUAGCCUGCAUUUGAAACUGUAUGUCUUGAGUGCUGGAGAGGCAAUCGGAAUUCCGGGUGUAGCGGUGAAAUGCGUAGAUAUACGGAGGAACACCAGUGGCGAAGGCGGAUUGCUGGACUGUAACUGACGCUGAGGCGCGAAAGCGUGGGGAGCAAACAGGAUUAGAUACCCCGGUAGUC
rnacentral:rRNA from 1 species